GCUGGCGAGGCUAUAACUGACGCUAAAGCUCGAAGGUGCGGGUAUCGAACAGGAUUAGAUACCCUGGUAGUCCGCACGGUAAACGAUGGAUGCCCGCUGUAUGCGAUAUAUUGUAUGCGGCCAAGCGAAAGCGUUAAGCAUCCCACCUGGGGAGUACGCCGGCAACGGUGAAACUCAAAGGAAUUGACGGGGGCCCGCACAAGCGGAGGAACAUGUGGUUUAAUUCGAUGAUACGCGAGGAACCUUACCCGGGCUUGAACUGCAGCGGAAGGAUACAGAGAUGUUGACGCCCUUCGGGGCCGCUGUGGAGGUGCUGCAUGGUUGUCGUCAGCUCGUGCCGUGAGGUGUCGGCUUAAGUGCCAUAACGAGCGCAACCCCUGCGACUAGUUGCCAUCAGGUUAAGCUGGGCACUCUGGUUGGACUGCCACCGUAAGGUGUGAGGAAGGUGGGGAUGACGUCAAAUCAGCACGGCCCUUACGUCCGGGGCUACACACGUGUUACAAUGGGUGGUACAGAGAGUUGGAUGUUCGCAAGAGUGUUCUAAUCCUAAAAGCCAUCCUCAGUUCGGAUUGGGGUCUGCAACCCGACCCCAUGAAGCUG
rnacentral:rRNA from 1 species